UACGUAGGAGGCAAGCGUUGUCCGGAAUUACUGGGCGUAAAGCGCGUGUAGGUGGUGGGACAAGUCUGCUGUGAAAGCGCCUGGCUUAACCGGGCGAGGUCGGCGGAAACUGUCGCACUCGAGGACGGUAGAGGGGGGUGGAAUUCCCGGUGUAGUGGUGAAAUGCGUAGAGAUCGGGAGGAACAUCAGUUGCGAAGGCGGCUCUCUGGACCAGCACUGACACUGAGGCACGAAAGCGUGGGGAGCAAACAGG
rnacentral:rRNA from 1 species